rnacentral:rRNA from 1 species
AACGCGAAGAACCUUACCUGGUCUUGACAUCCCCCUGAAAGCGCAGUAGUGUGCGCGUUCCUUCGGGACAGGGGAGACAGGUGGUGCAUGGUUGUCGUCAGCUCGUGUCGUGAGAUGUUGGGUUAAGUCCCGCAACGAGCGCAACCCUUAUCCUUAGUAGCCAGCACGUUAUGGUGGGCACUCUGGGGAGACUGCCGGGGAUAACCCGGAGGAAGGCGGGGAUGACGUCAAAUCAUCAUGCCCCUUAUGGCCAGGGCUACACACGUGCUACAAUGGCGUAAACAAAGGGAAGCGAAGUGGUGACACGGAGCAAAUCCCAAAAAUAACGUCUCAGUUCGGAUUGUAGUCUGCAACUCGACUACAUGAAGCCGGAAUCGCUAGUAAUCGCGGAUCAGAAUGCCGCGGUGAAUACGUUCCCGGGUCUUGUACACACCG